rnacentral:lncRNA from 1 species
GGAACCACAAGACAGAUGAGACCUCAACUCUCUUAAGCUUUCAUUUUAUGAAGAAGGAAGAUAAUGAAAACAUAAACAAAUUUGAAAGAAUUUUAGAAAGGGAAAAGCGAUACGAUGAGAAACUAAAAUGAAAAGUGACUUGGAAGAAGACGUCUUCUCUGAAGAGCUGGCAAAGGAUGGUGUGCCAUUAUCCUUUCAUGAUGCCAACGAGUGUAAAAUAGCCUCUUUCCGUGCAAACGAACACAAGUUAGAAGAAACCAUUCCUGAGUCAGUGUUCUGUUUUUCCGUGUCUACCCCACCCUACUCUGUCGACACUAGCCUCCACAAUUAUAGAAGCCUCUGACCGGAAGGAACCUAUACCAAAGUUAUCUUUUCCCCACUAUUUACAAAGCAACCUACAUUUGGGAAA